UACGGAGGGUGCAAACGUUGCUCGGAAUCAUUGGGCGUAAAGCGAGCGUAGGCGGUCUUGCAAGUCGGAUGUGAAAGCCCUCGGCUCAACCGAGGAAGUGCAUCCGAAACUGCAUGACUUGAGUACCGGAGAGGGUGACGGAAUUCCCGGUGUAGAGGUGAAAUUCGUAGAUAUCGGGAGGAACAUCAGUGGCGAAGGCGGUCACCUGGACGGUAACUGACGCUGAGGCUCGAAAGCGUGGGGAGCAAACAGG
rnacentral:misc_RNA from 1 species